GUAGUCGUAACCGGUACCCGUAAGUCUUGAUCGGGCCCGUAAAGUUUGAUCAGGGCUGCGUAAGUCGUAACAGGGGUACCUAAAGCCUAGAAAUCGGCCCGGUAAUGGGGGAUAACGUUUCGAAAGGAACGCUAAUACCGCAUACGUCCUACGGGAGAAAGCAGGGGACCUUCGGGCCUUGCGUUAUCGGAUGAGCCUAGGUCGGAUUAGCUAGUUGGUGAGGUAAUGGCUCACCAAGGCGACGAUCCGUAACUGGUCUGAGAGGAUGAUCAGUCACACUGGAACUGAGACACGGUCCAGACUCCUACGGGAGGCAGCAGUGGGGAAUAUUGGACAAUGGGCGAAAGCCUGAUCCAGCCAUGCCGCGUGUGUGAAGAAGGUCUUCGGAUUGUAAAGCACUUUAAGUUGGGAGGAAGGGCAGUCAGUUAAUACCUUGCUGUCUUGACGUUACCAACAGAAUAAGCACCGGCUAACUUCGUGCCAGC
rnacentral:rRNA from 1 species